UAUGACUAAUAAUAAGGGGCUCAGUGCAACUUCCUAUGAUAAUUGCAGUGGUCAGACUUAAAACUACAAAAAUAGCCAUCAAUCAUUACCAUCUGCCUUCUAUACCAAACUAACUUUGGAGCCAAUGUAUCAACUUGAUCUGAAGUCCAUGGAUCCUGAAGCUUAGAGUAUUCCGUUUGGGACCUUGUCAAAGCCUUACAGAAAGAAUUCCAUGUAAACAGCAUUAACUGAACAAGCCUGAGCAACACGUUUAGUGAUUUCCUUAGAAUAUUCAAUCAAAUUGGUCAGUGCCAUAUUAACUAUCAAUCCCAGCCUCUACAAGUGCAGAUUAAUCCUAUCACUCAGAUUGUUUUCCGGUAAUUUUCUUACCACUGACCUUAGUUGGCUAAUCCCUGUGACAUCAAGAAUAUGUUGUUAUAUGUUAAUCAUCACCCUCAGUUCAUCUGCUAUACUCAUCAGACUCCUUGCGCUAAAAUAAGUUCAAAGUUCAAAGUAAAUUUUAUAAUCUAAGUGCUUGUAUGUCACCAUAUACGACCCCUGAGAUUCAAUUUCCUGCAGGCUUAUUCAGCAAAUCUAUAGAAGAGUAACCAUAACAGGAUCUGUGAAAUAUCAAAUGGAGUGCAGAAGAGAACAAACUGUGCAAAUGCAACUAUAAAUAAUAAUGAGAACAUGAGAUAAAGAGUCCUUAGAGUGAGAUCAUUGGUUGUGGGAACAUCUCAAUGGACGGGUGAUCUAACCUUGUACUCUUCUCAUUUGCUGGGAAUUUAGGCUUCCUGCUAUAUUUAUCUAUUCCUCACUUUGUACCUUACCCCAUAACUAGAUGGACUUAAUUUUCCUUCUGAGAGUUCCUUACUCACAUUAUACUCUUAUUCUGUUUACCAUUCACCUGCCCUUGCAAAGAUAAAAAGAAAACACAGAUAAACAGGGUGUUUCAGAUAUGACACCCCUCAUCAGAACUGGGAAGGAGAAACAAGUCAGAAGAGGUGUCAGAGAAGAUUGGGGAAGGCUGGUGGAACGGAAGGAAUUUCUUUGAUCUGCCUGUCUAUGCAGAAAAUAAAAAAAGGACAGGAGGGAGAAAUGGAAACAAACAGGAAGAAUGACAUUGAGGAAUUUGAUACUGACUCUUGCAGAAUGCAAAAUGCCCAGAAGGCAGAUGAGAUGUUGUUCCUCAAACUUGUAUGGGCUUCAUUGUAACCCUGCAGGAAGCUACAGACAGAAUGGGAGGAGGCUGAUGAACUAAAGAUGUUGGCCGCCAAAUCUCAUGGUCACUCCCUCCCUUUUGUAAAAGAGAAAUCAGAUAAUCAUGGAGUGAGCCAUCUGGAUAUGAAUCUUUGUGUUUAAGCCAGUCUCAGCAGGAUAAAGUCAUUAUAAGAUCAAUGUGAAAUUCCAAAUUGAAAUUAUGACUUUAGAGAAGCUUAAUUUGAGAUAUUUUCUGAACUAUUUACAAUAUUUUGGAUACAGAUCGUACCAAAUCGCACUUUUGGCUCACCGUCAAUUUCUAGUCGGAUGCAGUGCAGAUCAACUUUUUGCCUACACACAGAAAUGUGUUUCCCUCUCAAAUAAUCAUUGCCAAAGAAAGUAGUGACUCUGUUGCCAGCCCUGUGACUAUCCCACAGAGAAUUUUUGAGCCUGAAAAUUCACACUCAACAAUUUAGAAAUGGUUUCUUCCCCUCUGCCAUCAGAUUUCUGAACUGUCCAUGAACAAUGUCUCCAUUAACAUUGCCUAAACUGUUUCCCCUCCAAGGAUGCUGAGUUCCUCCAGCACUUUGUGUGUUGCUACCUUGGUAUUCCUUUACUUGCAGUAUUUAUUUUUAGUAAUUACAGAAAUUUUAUGUUUUCAUCCAACAAAACAAUAAAUUUCACGUGACACACAUAAAAGUUGCUGGUGAACGCAGCAGGCCAGGCAGCAUCUCUAGGAAGAGGUACAGUCGACGUUUCAGGCCGAGACCCUGAGGUGCUUCCUAGAGAUGCUGCCUGGCCUGCUGCAUUCACCAGCAACUUUGAUGUGUGUUGCUUGAAUUUCCAGCAUCUGCAGAAUUCCUUGUGUUUGCGUUUUUAAAUUUCACAUGAUAUAAUUCAAUGAUAAUAAAUCUGAAUGUGAUGUUGAUUCUGCUUCCAAAAUACACCAAAUACACAAAUGAACUGCAUGAAAAUGGAUAUCAUGUCUCAAACUGAUAAUUUCUAGGCAGCUAUCAUAUUUCUUACUUUAGAAAGGAAUUGAUAGAAUUGGCAGAAGUUAGUUGACAUUUACAACAGAAGCUGCACCAGUUUAAUCUGUCCCAGGAAUAACAAAAAUAAUGUUAGAAAAACAGUAUUAGAAUAGCCCUCAAACUACUGGAAUUUUUUGAAGGUUUAAGUCACUGAUGUCAUCAUAUUAACAUAUCCAGAGACUGAAAUGGUUUAGAAAUUAUGCAAAAACCAUACUGAGGUUUGGAGGGAAUCCUCUUCAAGAACUGACCUGUGGCU